AAUAGAUACCCUGGUAGUCCACGCCGUAAACGAUGUCGACUUGGAGGUUGUUCCCUUGAGGAGUGGCUUCCGGAGCUAACGCGUUAAGUCGACCGCCUGGGGAGUACGGCCGCAAGGUUAAAACUCAAAUGAAUUGACGGGGGCCCGCACAAGCGGUGGAGCAUGUGGUUUAAUUCGAUGCAACGCGAAGAACCUUACCUACUCUUGACAUCCAGAGAACUUAGCAGAGAUGCUUUGGUGCCUUCGGGAACUCCGAGACAGGUGCUGCAUGGCUGUCGUCAGCUCGUGUUGUGAAAUGUUGGGUUAAGUCCCGCAACGAGCGCAACCCUUAUCCUUUGUUGCCAGCGGUUCGGCCGGGAACUCAAAGGAGACUGCCAGUGAUAAACUGGAGGAAGGUGGGGAUGACGUCAAGUCAUCAUGGCCCUUACGAGUAGGGCUACACACGUGCUACAAUGGCGUAUACAAAGAGAAGCGACCUCGCGAGAGCAAGCGGACUUCAUAAAGUACGUCGUAGUCCGGAUUGGAGU
rnacentral:rRNA from 1 species